rnacentral:rRNA from 1 species
UAAAGCGUGCGCAGGCGGUUUUGUAAGACUGUCGUGAAAUCCCCGGGCUCAACCUGGGAAUGGCGAUGGUGACUGCAAGGCUAGAGUUUGGCAGAGGGGGGUAGAAUUCCACGUGUAGCAGUGAAAUGCGUAGAUAUGUGGAGGAACACCGAUGGCGAAGGCAGCCCCCUGGGUCAAAACUGACGCUCAUGCACGAAAGCGUGGGGAGCAAACAGGAUUAGAUACCUAGU